rnacentral:rRNA from 1 species
GAGUACAGUGGGCGCACGGGUGAGUAACACGUGAAUUAUCUACCUCCGAGUGGGGAAUAACUGAGAGAAAUCUUAGCUAAUACCGCAUAACACUUACGAGUCAAAGCAGCAAUGCGCUUGGAGAGGAGUUCGCGGCCGAUUAGUUAGUUGGCGGGGUAAUGGCCCACCAAGACGAUGAUCGGUAUCCGGCCUGAGAGGGCGCACGGACACACUGGAACUGAAACACGGUCCAGACUCCUACGGGAGGCAGCAGUGGGGAAUUUUGCGCAAUGGGGGAAACCCUGACGCAGCAACGCCGCGUGGAGGAUGAAAUAUCUUGGUAUGUAAACUCCUUUCGAUGGGGAAGAUUAUGACGGUACCCAUAGAAGAAGCCCCGGCUAACUUCGUGCCAGCAGCCGCGGUAAUACGAGGGGGGCAAGCGUUGUUCGGAUUUAUUGGGCGUAAAGGGUGCGUAGGCGGUUUGGCAAGUCUGAUGUGAAAUCUAUGGGCUCAACCCAUAGUCUGCAUCAGAAACUGCCGGGCUUGAGUAUGGGAGAGGUGAGUGGAAUUUCCGGUGUAGCGGUGAAAUGCGUAGAUAUCGGAAGGAACACCUGUGGCGAAAGCGGCUCACUGGACCAUAACUGACGCUGAUGCACGAAAGCUAGGGGAGCAAACAGGAUUAGAUACCCUGGUAGUCCUAGCCCUAAACGAU